rnacentral:rRNA from 1 species
GACGAACGCUGGCGGCGUGCUUAACACAUGCAAGUCGAACGAAGUGGCGAACGGGUGAGUAACGCGUAAUCAACCUGCCCUUCAGAGGGGGACAACAGUUGGAAACGACUGCUAAUACCUCAUACUUAAGGAGGGGAUUGCGUCUGAUGAGCUAGUGGGGGGGGUAACGGCCCACCAAGGCGAGGAUCAGUAGGCGGGCUGAGAGGAUGAACGGGCAAAUUGGGACUGAGACACGGCCCAAAAUCCUAAGGGAGGGAGCAGUGGGGAAGCUUCCGCAAUGGACGAAAGUCUGACGGAGCAAAGCCGCGUGAGUGAUGACGGCCGUCGGGUUGUAAAGCUCUGUUAAUCGGGACGCGGUACCGGAAGAGAAAGCCACGGCUAACUACGUGCCAGCAGCCGCGGUAAUAC